AAGAGGGGAGAUUUCUUUCGCUAGAUCGGCAAGUGUAUGUCAAGAAUUCUACUAUAUCUUGUAUAUUCCUUGGUGUAUACUGUAUAUGUGGCUAAGGUCUGGCGAGUGGCGACUGCUGGCAUCCCACCUGGCACAAACCACGCUAGGUCUCCAAGUCCAGCCUGUCCAGGGCCUGCUGAGAGCCCAGUGACAACCGAGUGCCGACAGGAUGUCUAUACUAUAGUAGCGUCCAUCCUUCACUUCAAUCGGCUAUCCUCUGAUUCAUCUGAGCUUUCCUGAGGAAAAACAGUCAUCGGCCACACCUGUGAUAUCAUCACAUGACUAUCCCAGGGCCCAUAUAUGAAUCAACAAGAUCUUUGUAGCUCUAACAACAAUAAGACCUGUUGACUCCGCCUGUUUCUCAAAUAUAGUGUACUGGUGGUGCCUGGUUUCUGAAAAUUCAUGUGUUUGAAAAGGGGCUUCACAAGAAAAGGCAGGCACAGUCUGGGGGAUUGAACCUGGGAUCUUCCACUUCCCAAGCAGACAUACCAGCCACUACUUUAUAGCGGCCUCUUGGUGGCAACCCUCACACUCAAGUUUGUCAGCAGUCAACAGCAGGUGUCCAGGUCCUGUGUGUUUAAGGAACUGAGAACAAUGGCAAGAAGUGCAGAUAUUAGUGAUGUAAACUUCCUUGUGUUGGAUGGGGAAGAGUACAUUGCUUAUAACUAUGCUGGGUGCCAAAAAUGUCCUGAUACAGUGAAAAAAGAGCCUUUCUAUCAGAUAAGUAUAAAGACCAAAAAGAAGUAUCCUGUAAGUAAUAACAUUUAUCCCAAUUCUUCCAGUGAUGAUAAUUUUGACACUUCAAGUCAUUUGCAAGUUUCCAAGAAUAAGGAUUCCCAGAUGCAAUAUUUAGAUGACUAUGCAAUUGUCCAGCCAGAUACUAAAGAAGUGAGAAAUCUAAUCAUGGCAUUACAAGAUUAUGCUUCUUCCUUCAAGUCCAAAUUUAAAGUGUAUAAAGAAAAUGAGUUUACUGAGUCACCUCAGUAACAAGAGAAAUACAGAAGAUUGUUUAAUUUGCUCUUCAUACCAUUGUUUUUUGCCAACCCUAUGAAUCUUUGAUGAAGUUUUUAUGUUGUAUUGUAAUGUAGGUAGUGAAUAUAUUUUGUAGAAUCAUUGAUUUUCCUUAUUAUGAAUUGUGUAAAAGUUUUUUUUUAUUUUGUGUAGUUUUCAGUAUUUCAAGUAUUCUAUAGUUAGUUUAGAAGGAGAACACUUGCAUGAGACAGAUAAAAUAAAAACAGUGCUUAACAGAU